AACGGCAGCACGGGCUUCGGCCUGGUGGCGAGUGGCGAACGGGUGAGUAAUACAUCGGAACGUGCCCUGUAGUGGGGGAUAACUAGUCGAAAGAUUAGCUAAUACCGCAUACGACCUGAGGGUGAAAGCGGGGGACCGUAAGGCCUCGCGCUACAGGAGCGGCCGAUGUCUGAUUAGCUAGUUGGUGGGGUAAAAGCCUACCAAGGCGACGAUCAGUAGCUGGUCUGAGAGGACGAUCAGCCACACUGGGACUGAGACACGGCCCAGACUCCUACGGGAGGCAGCAGUGGGGAAUUUUGGACAAUGGGGGCAACCCUGAUCCAGCAAUGCCGCGUGUGUGAAGAAGGCCUUCGGGUUGUAAAGCACUUUUGUCCGGAAAGAAAUGGCUCUGGUUAAUACCUGGGGUCGAUGACGGUACCGGAAGAAUAAGCACCGGCUAACUACGUGCCAGCAGCCGCGGUAAU
rnacentral:rRNA from 1 species